CUUGCAGGCUCAUCUCAGGGGAGCAGGCAAACAAAGGAAGAGGCACAGAAGGCAGAGCGGCAGGAAGGAGGCUGUAAGGAAGAUGUGCACAUUCGCUGCCUGGCAAGCUCACAGCCAUCCCCUCAACUGUGAUGAGAUUCCUGAAGCAAAUUACAGGGCGCAGUGAGAGUGUACGAGAUGGGAACCUACCUGGAUAAAGAAGUGGUGGUCAGAAUUUGAAAUUGAAGCCUCAGGGUUUCCCUGAGGAUGGUUGAGAUCUGCAGGACAAAGAAACUAGAAAACCAGAUAGUGGAAAUAGCAGUGCCAAGAAGCUGUUGAGGAAGACUGUUCUCCCAACCGACUCAUGAAAACAACAUACUAGGGACAAGUGGCUUAAGCCCUCUGACUAAGCUUACCAGGAGCGUCGAACUUGGCAACCUGAUCAAUUGGCAAAAUGGUAUUCCUCUAUCUUUAUUAAUUUUAGUGGAAUAUUUUUAACCUUUUAUUAGUAAACUAAACCUAGGUCCAUGGUUUAGAUCAUAAACUCUAACUAUGUCUUCAACAAAUAAUAGUUGAAUAAAUAAAUGGAUGAAUGGAAGGAAAGACUAUAUGUACCUAACUUGGUCUUCUCACUUGCCUGUGGUAGCACCACUCAACUGAAUACCUUCCAUGUGCUUCUCUAGUCCUUUCCUCCACCCUCUGUCUGCACAUAUCCUGGGAGGCUUACCUGCACUAACUAUACUCUGGCUUCUGUCAAGUUCAGUCUAUUGAAAGUGCCAGUGGGAGAUCAGAAAAGAGGUGAGGAGGUCAGAUUAGUUAUCCUCCUGUGGUGUCAACACUGGUUAUUUGAUCUCAUAACUGAAGACAACAGCCUCUGUGUCUCCAGGUUCUGGAAAGUGCCCUAUCUCUUUGUCCCUUCAGUCCUCUGAAGAGAAAUGCCCCUACUGUCAUUAGCUCCUAGAUACUAUCCUUUGGGAUUUUGGUAGGUACCUCACAAAUGUUUAUAAAUAGUCUUUUAAGCAAACGUUGUGCCUUUUACCCAGUUUUAAUGUGCCACCAUUUCCUGCCAGAAUCUUGACUGAAAAAAUACUUGUACUUGAGGGGAUUUGAACUGGUGGUGGUAAGUUCUGGUUCCAGUUAAGAUGGAUUAAGCACACUUCCCCCAGUCUCCUCCAUGGAAUGAAGCUGUAAAGCUUGGACAGCAUGCAUGGAGAAGCUAUUUAAGAACUGGUGAUUUUCUACUGAAGGUUUAAAUAGGAUGGUACUGUUGUUUCUGCAACUGAUGGUAAACCAACAGAGAAGCCUAUUCCGAUCUAGCCUCUCUAAAUGAGCUGCUAACUAUUUGACAAACUGAUCAGUUGAAUAUAAAUGUGCUGCCACUCUAAGCAUCAUGUAUUAAGGCAAAAAGUAAAAAGGAUUUAUAUUUGGGUUCAAAUCUUGGUUCUACCACUUACCAGCUGGGUGACCUUGUGCAAGUUAAUUAAUCAUUUUUAGUUUUAGUGGCAUUAUCUAUACAUUGGGAAUAACUUAAAGUAGAGCAGGAUGAACAAAUAGAAGCCUUUACUGAUCAUCCUCCCCACAGAAACACCAAAUUAAAAAACCCCACAAAAAACUUCAUAAAACCACAACUCAGAAGAGUGAUCACAGUACCUAACUUUAACUUCAUAUCACUGAGAGAGGCCCUGAAGAGGGCUGGAAAGAUAGUCUUGAAUUGUUGAUGUUACUCCUCCUUCAUAGACCAGCAGUGACCGUCUAUGUGUGCCAUGGAGACAGAGUCUGCGUACUUGGGGUGGUAGGGAGAGCACAGGGAUUGUGGGACAUUGCAUUGGAACUCAGUGCCUCCCUGUCACAGUGGAAAGCAACACCAGGCAGAACUCAGUCAGCACCCACGGAGGGAGCAUUCACACCAGCCCUAGCCAGAGGAGGAAUUGCCCAUUUCAGCAGAUGGAAUCUGAAUGCCAGCAAGCCUCACCACUGUGGGCUCAUGUGCUCUGGGGUUCUAAAUAAACUUGGAAAGCAGUCUAGGUCACAAGAACUGCAAUUCCUGGGGAAGUUCUGGUCCUGUGCUGGCCUCAGAGACAGUGGACUUAGGGGGGCAAGCAACCUAGUAAGAUGACAGCUUGGGCAGCCAAGGGAGUGCUUGUGCCACCCCUCCCUCAACCCCAGACAGCACAGCUCACAGCUCUGGGAGAGACUUCUUCCCUCUGCUUGCAGAGAGGUGAGGGGAGAAUAAAGAAGACUUUGUCUUGGGACUCGGUUACCAGCUUAGCCACAGUGGGAUAGGGUACCAGGUAGAGUCCUGAGGCUCCUAUUCCAGGUCCUACCUCCUAGACAUUUCUAGACUAGUCUUGGGUUCAGAAGGAAACCCAUUGCUUUGAAGCAAAGAAACUAGUCCUAGAAAAAUUCAUUGCCUGCUGGCUAAAGAGCCCUUGGGCCCUGAAAAAUCAGGAGCAAUACCCAAGGUACUCACCAUGCGCCUUGGGUGAGACUCAGAGACAUGCUGGCUUCAGGUGUGACCUAGGACAUUCCCAGCUAUGGUGGCCAUAGGGGGAGACUCCUUGUGCUUCAGAAAAGGAGAGGGAAGAGUAAAGGAGACGUUGUCUUGUAGCAUAGGGGCCAGAGCUUGGUUUGGACACAAUGGGGUAGAUCACCAAGUGGGCACUUAGGGUCUCCAGUUCCAGGUCUUGGCUCUUAGAUGGCAUCUCUGGACCUAUCCUGGGCCAGAGGGGAGCCUGGUUCCCUGCAAUGAGAGUCUCAAGCCUAACAGCAUUCACCCAGCUGAUUGAAGAGGCUUUGGGCUUUGAGUAAACAAUGGUGGUAGCCAGGCAGUACUUGCCGCAGGUCUGAGGUGGCGGUGGCCAUGGUGAGACUCGAUGCUUUUGAAAAGGGGAGGGAAGAGAGGGAAAAAGUUUGUAUUGUGGUUUGGAUGCUGGCUCAACCACAGUAGAAUAUAGCACCAGGCAGAGUCCUAAGGUUUCUGACUCCAGGCCCUGGCUUCCAGUUGGCAUCUCUGGGCACCCCACCCAGGGGUAGGGGGAACUUGUCACCCUGAAGGGAAGAACACAAGCCUCAUUUCACCACCUGCUAAUUGUAGAUCCUCAGGGCUUUGAGCGAACAUAGGCAGUAGCCAGGUGAUGUUACAGAGGGCCUUGGGUCUGACCCAGCACAGUCCCAAUGAUGGCGGUCAGGGGUGCUUGUGUCACUCUUCCACCAGCUUUAGGCAGCUUAGUAUGUGGACAGAAGCUCUACUUGUUUGGGAGAAAGUAAGGGAAGAGGAUAAGAGUCUCUGCCUGGUAAACCAGAUAAUUCUUCCAGAUCUCAUCCAAGACCUGCAAGGUAGUACCUCUGUGAGCCUACAAGAGGCACAGUCUUACUGGACUUGGGGUGCCACCUAAUGAAGAUAUAUGGCUGCAGGAACCAAAAAGUUAAAUCACAACACCCAAGUCCCUUUAAAUACCUGGAAAGUUCCCUAGAAGGUUGGGUACCAACAAGCCCGUACUAACUCUUCAAUGCACAGACAUAAAAAAAAUGUAUCUACAAGCAUCAAGACCACCCAGAAAAACAUGACCUCACCAAAUGAUCUAAAUAGACACGAGAGACCAAUCCUGGAGAGAUAGAGACAUGAGACCUUUGAGACAGAAUUAAAAAUAGCUGUUUUGAGGAAAUUCAAUGAAAUUUAAGAUAACACAAAGAAGGAAUUCAGAAUCCUGUCAGAUAAAUUUGACAAAUAGACUGAAAUAAUUAAAGGGAAUCAGCAGAAAUCCUGGAGUUGAAAAAUGCAAUUCACAUACUAAAGAAUGUGUCAGCCCCCUACCAGCAGAACUGAUGAGGCAAAAGAAAAAAAUCAGUAAGCUUGAAGACAGGCUAUUUGAAAAUACACAGUCAGAGGUGACAAGAGAAAAUAAGAAAGAAUGAAGCAUAGCUACAGAAUCUAAAAUAGCCUUAAAAGGGAAAAUCUAAGAGUUAGUGGCUUUAUAGAGGAGGGGGAGAGAGAGAGAGAGAUGGGGUAGAAAGUUUAUUCAACAGAGAACUUUCCAAACCUAGAGGAAGACACCCAAGUUCAAGUACAAGAAAGUUAUAAAACACUAAGCAGAAUUAACCUAAAGAAGACUGCCUCAAAGCAUUUAUUAGUCAAGCCCCCAAAGGUCAAGGAUAAAGAAAGGAUCUUAAAAGCAGCAAGAUUUGUUUUGGAGAUUCCUCAAAAACAGAUAACAUACAAUGGAGCUCCAACCCAAACUGGAAAGGAAGAAGUCAAAUUAUCCUUGUUUGUAGAUGAUAUGAUCUUAUAUUUGGAAAAACCUAAGACUCCACACACAUAAAACUAUUAGAACAAAUAAAUUCAGUAAAGUUGCAGGAUACAAAACUAGCAUAUGAAAAUCAGUAGCAUUUCUAUAUGUCAACAGCAAACAACACCAGAAAAGAAAUCAUGAAAGUCAUUCCAUUCACAAUAGCUAAAAAUAAAAUAAAAUUCUUAGGAAUUAACCAAAGAAAUGAGAGAUCUCUGCAAUAAAAACAAUAAAACAUUGAUAACAGAAAUUGAAGAGGACACAAAAAUAUGAAAAGAUAUUCCACGUUCAUGGAUUGGAAGAAUCAGUAUUAUUAAAAUGUUCAUAAUAUCUAAAGCAAUCUACAGAUUCAAUGCAAUUUAUAUCAAAAUACCAAUGACAUUCUUUACAAAAAUAGAAAAAGAAUCCUAAAAUUUAUAUAGAAACAUAAAAGACGUAGAGUAACCAAAGCCAUUCUGAACAAAAACAAUAAAACUAGGGGAAAUCACAUUACAUGACUUCAAAUUUUCUAUAAAGCUAUAGUAAACAAAACAGCAUGGCACUGGCAUAAAUAUGGACACAUAGACCAAUGGAACAGAACAGAAAAUCCAGAAACAAAUCCAUACAUUUACAGUGAACUGAUUUUUGACAGAAGUGUCAAGAACAUACAUUGGGGAAAGAACAGUCUUUUCAAUAAGUAGUUAUGGGGAAACUGGAUGUCCACAUGCAGAAGAAUAAAACCAGACCCUUAUCUCUUACCAUAUACAAAAAUCAUAUCAAAUGGAUUAAAGACUUCAAUCUAAGACCUCAGACUACGAAAGUACUACAAGAAAACAUUGGAGAAACUCUCCAGAACAAUUGGCUGGGUCAAGAUUUCUUGAGUAAUAGGCCACAAUCACAGGCAACUAAAGCAAAAAUGGACAAAAGGGAUCAUGUCAAUUUAAAAAUCUUCUGCACAGCAAAGGGAACAAUCAAAAAAGUGAAAAGACAACGCACAGAAUGGGAGUGAAUAUUUGAAAGCUACCCAUAUGACAAGGGAUUAAAAAUCUGAAUAUAUAAGGCACUCAAACAACUCUAUGGGGAAAGGUCUAAUAAUCCAAUUUAAAAAUGGGCAAAAGAUCUGAGUAGAUACUUCUGGAAAGAGGAUAUACAAGUGGAACAUAGGUAUAUGGAAGGUGCUCAACGUCACUGAUCAUCAGAAAAAUGGAAAUCAAAAGUACAAUGAAAUAUUAUCUUGCCCCAGUUAAAAUGGCACAUAUCCAAAAGACAGGCACUAACAAACGCUGGUGAUGAUGUGAGAAAAGGGAACCCUCGUGCACUGUUGGUAGGAACAUAAAUCAGUACAACCACUAUGGAAAACAGUUUGGAGGUUCCUCACAAAACUAAAAAUUGAGCUACCAUGUGAUCCAGCAAUUCCACUGCUGGCUAUAUCCUCCAAAGAAGGGAAAUAAAUAUAUCAAAGAGAUACAUACACUAUCAUGUUUGUUGUAGCACUGUUCACAAUAGCUAAAAUUUGGAAGCAACCUAAAUGUCCAUCAACAGAUGAAUGGAUAAAGAAAAUGUGGUACAUAUAUGCAAUGGAAUACUCUUCUGCCAUAAAAAACAAUGAGAUCCUGUCAUUUGCAACAAGAUGGAUGGAACUGGAGGUCAUUAUGUUAAGCAAAAUAAGCCAGGUACAGAAAAACAAAGUUCACAUGUUCUCACUUAUUUGUGAGAGCUAAAAAUAAAAACAAACUCAUGGAGACAGAAAGUAGAGUAUGAUUUUGGCUGUGAGAUUUUCGUGGAUGUUCUAUCAGAUGAGAAGAUCCCCCUCUGUUCCUCGCAGCUGACAGAUUUUUUCAUGAAGUUGUGUUGAAUCGUUUCAAAUGCUUUUUCUGCAUGGAUUGAGAUAGUCUUUUUCUCUUUUAUUGUGCUAAUGCAGUUCAUUAUAUAAAUUGAUUUUCUUUGUUUUUUUUUUUUAUUUAUUUUUUUGAGAUGGAGUUAUGCUCUUGUUGCGCAGGCUAGAGUGCAAUGGCGUGAUCUUGGCUCACCGCAACCUCUGCCUCCUGGGUUCAAGCAAUUCUCCUGUCUCAGCCUUCUGAGUAGCUGGGAUUAUUACAGGCAUCCACCACCAUCCCUGGCUAAUUUUGUAUUUUUUACUAGAGACAGGGUUUCUCCAUGUUGGCCAGGCUGGUCUGGAACCCCAAACCUCAGGUUAUCAGCCUGCCUCGGCCUCCCAAAGUGCUGGGAUUACAGGUGUGAGCCACUGUGCCUGGCCCAUAAAUUUAUUUUCAAAUGUUAAAUUAACUGUGCAUUGUGGAAUGAAUGCUGCCUGGUCAGGAAGUAUUAUCUCUUGUGUUUGUGUGUCACAUGCAGUCAGUCAUCAUUAUUUGUGGAUCCUGUAUUGGUGAAUUGCCUACUUACUGAAAUUUAUUUGUAACCCCAGAUCAAUACUGGCAACACCUUUGUGGUCAGUCUCUGGCAGAUGUGUGGUGUGGCGGGAAAGGUAAACUGCCUGGCUUGCACCUCUCAGGCAAGGUGGGACGAUGCUGCUCUGCCUGUCUCCGUUCUCUCACUGAGUACUCCUUUCUCACGGUGUACUUCAUGUCAUUUCACAUCUUUGUGCUUUAUGUUGGUGACUUGACUGUUUAAAAUGGCCCCUAAAUGUAGUGCUGAGGUUCUGUCUAGUGUUCCUAAGAGUAAGAAGGCUAUGGUGUGCCUUUCAGAGAAAUACAAGAGCUCAAGAAACUGCUCUCAGGUGUGAGCUCUGGUGCUGUUGGCUGUGAGUUCAGUGUUGAUGAAUGAGCAAGGUAGAUUGAAUAAGGUGGUGGUCCCCAGGCUUUUCUGGCACCAGGGACUGGUUUCAUGGAAGACGGUUUUUCCAUGGGUGGUGGGGUAGGGGGCUUGGUUCAUGAUGAAACCUUUCCACCUCAGAUCAUCAGGCAUUAGCUUCUUAUAAGGAGUGUGCAGCCUGUAUCCCUAGCAGGUGCCUUUCACAGUGGGAUUUGUGCUCCUGUGAGAAUCUAAGGCCACUGCUGACCUGACAGGAGGUGGCAUUCAGGCAGUGAUGCUGGCUGGCCAGCCGCUGGCCUCCUGCUGUGUGACCAGUUCCUAACAGGUCACAGACCGGCAGGUUGGGAACCCCUACAAUCACAUUUUUUUUUAAAACUUAAAUUUGUCCAGGCGCAGUGGCUCAUGCCUAUAAUUCCAGCACUUUGGGAGGCUAAGGCAGGUGAUCACUAGGUCAGGAGAUCAACACCAUCCUGGCCAACAUGGUGAAACCCCGUCUCUACUAAAAAUACAAAAAUUAGCUGGGCAUGGUGGCACAUGCCUGUAAUCCCAGCUACUCAGUAGGCUGAGGCAGGAAAAUCGCUUGAACCUGGGAGGUGGAGGUUGCAGUGAGCCAAGAUCUCACUAUGGCAUUCCAGCCUGGGUGACAGAGCAAGACUCUGUCUCCAAGAAAAAGAAA